UACGUAGGGUCCGAGCGUUGUCCGGAAUUAUUGGGCGUAAAGAGCUCGUAGGCGGUUUGUCGCGUCUGCUGUGAAAUCUAGAGGCUCAACCUCUAGCGUGCAGUGGGUACGGGCAGACUGGAGUGGUGUAGGGGAGACUGGAAUUCUCGGUGUAGCGGUGAAAUGCGUAGAUAUCGAGAGGAACACCUACGGCGAAGGCGGGUUGCUGGGCUGACACUGACG
rnacentral:rRNA from 1 species